CGGAACGCCAAGUAGCUUCUUCGUAGAGGCAAACACCGGGAUAAGGAGAAAGGUUCUGGUAGCAUGACUCUGGCAAAAGAGGAUUCCAGUAUGAGGUCUCAAUGAGAACCUAGCAACAACCUACAUGGUUGUGCAAGCAGCCCUCACCCUAAGCCUCAUCAAAGAGUUGGAGAGAGGACAGGAACUCGCAAGAAUGUGGAGGAAGGAAAGACCCUGCUGGGUUCCAGAGAAGGAUUCCAUCCUUGAGAUGGGAACCAGUGGGAAAAUGGAAGGUAUCAGAGACGAGAUAAAAGGAAACACAACAUUUUCCCAACACAGCUCUGCAAGUAAUUCCCCAGAAAAACAGGACUGGAAGGAAGGUAGGAAGACGGUAGAAGAUUCGAAGUUUUGGUUUUGUGAAACAGCAGAACCUUUUAAGGAACAAAUGCGUCAUCUUGAGACUGCAUUUUCAGUAUCUUGAUCUACAUACUUUUCAUAUUCUGGGUUUUUUAAAAAAAAAUUAAUAAAAAAUAUGGUAU